GAUGAACGCUGGCGGCGUGCCUAAUACAUGCGAGUCGAGCGAACGGACGAGAAGCUUGCUUCUCUGAUGUUAGCGGCGGACGGGUGAGUAACACGUGGAUAACCUACCUAUAAGACUGGGAUAACUUCGGGAAACCGGAGCUAAUACCGGAUAAUAUUUUGAACCGCAUGGUUCAAAAGUGAAAGACGGUCUUGCUGUCACUUAUAGAUGGAUCCGCGCUGCAUUAGCUAGUUGGUAAGGUAACGGCUUACCAAGGCAACGAUGCAUAGCCGACCUGAGAGGGUGAUCGGCCACACUGGAACUGAGACACGGUCCAGACUCCUACGGGAGGCAGCAGUAGGGAAUCUUCCGCAAUGGGCGAAAGCCUGACGGAGCAACGCCGCGUGAGUGAUGAAGGUCUUCGGAUCGUAAAACUCUGUUAUUAGGGAAGAACAUAUGUGUAAGUAACUGUGCACUUCUUGACGGUACCUAAUCAGAAAGCCACGGCUAACUACGUG
rnacentral:rRNA from 1 species